GACUAUGCACACAUAGAACUAUACAUGUGUUGAUUUGUUUACUUGAGAGGAAAUGGUAGGUUUGUGUGAAUAGGGAGGUGACCAUAUCGUUCCGGUUUCCAAACGUUUAGGGAAAUUUUUUGUGGUAAUUGAGUAAAUGAAAUUUUAGUUGCAAAAGAAAGUAACUGUUUAAAGGAAUUAAAUUUUUCACUCGUCAAUAGUGCGUAACCACGUGCAGUAAGUGUGGGCGUGUACAGCAAACAAGAAAUGGUUAACACGAAAGAUGAAACCACGUCUUCUGCACAGGAAGGAUCACCAGAAAAAUCGAAGCAGGCAUUAAAGAAAGAAGCUAAAGAGGCAGCAAAGAAAGCAAAGAAAGAAGAGAGAUUACAGCAAAAGGCAAGCCAAGAUGAUGCUUCGGAGCCUGAUUUUUGUGCAGGAAAGUAUGGUCAGCCUCCAAUGAUUCAGAGUGCGGAAAAGACUCAAAGGAACUUUGUCCAUGUUAAAGAUAUUAAGGAUGAGAUUGCUGGUCAGUGUGUUUGGGUUAGAGGUCGUUUACAUACUAGUAGAGCUAAAGGAAAACAGUGCUUUAUUGUUGUUAGACAGCAGGAGUACACUGUGCAAUGCCUGUUUGCCGUGGGAGAAAAAAUUAGUAAACAAAUGGUGAAAUUUGCUUCAAACAUAACAAAAGAAUCCAUAAUAGACGUUGAAGCUGUUGUUUCUAAAGUCCCACGUACUGUUGACGGUUGUACUCAGAAGACAGUGGAAUUGCAUGGAUUACAAAUUUUUGUUGUCAGUGCUUCUAAAAGUCAGCUGCCUUUGCAAAUUGAAGAUGCUGCUCGUCCAGUGAAGGAUGAUGACAACAGUGAAGAAGGCCUGAAUAUUAGAGUUAAUCAAGAUACUCGCUUAGAUAACAGGGUAUUGGAUCUACGAACUCCAGCAAACCAGGCUAUUUUUAGAUUGGAAGCAGGUGUAUGUAAACUGUUCAGGGACCUUUUAUUCAACCAGGGGUUUGUUGAGAUACAUACGCCAAAAAUAAUUCCAGCUGCAAGUGAGGGUGGUGCUAAUGUUUUUACUGUUUCAUAUUUUAAAAGCUCAGCUUACUUAGCGCAGAGCCCUCAACUUUACAAACAGAUGGCUAUUGCAGCGGAUUUUGACAGAGUGUACACUGUGGGAGCAGUUUUUCGUGCUGAAGACAGUAAUACUCAUCGCCAUUUAACAGAAUUUGUUGGACUUGAUUUAGAAAUGGCUUUUAAAUACCACUACCAUGAAGUGAUAGACACUAUUGGGAACACUUUCACACAGAUCUUCAAGGGUCUACGUGACAAUUACGCUGAUGAAAUAGCUGCUGUAGCACAACAGUUUCCUGUGGAACCAUUUCGGUUUAUUGAUCCACCUCUGAAACUUGAAUUUAGUCAAGGUGUGAAGAUGUUACGUGAAGCAGGAGUUGAAAUGGGGGAUGAGGAUGAUCUUAGUACUACUAAUGAGAAAUUACUGGGACGCUUAGUUAAGGCGAAAUAUGACACUGAUUUUUAUAUUCUGGAUAAAUAUCCUCUUGCAGUGAGGCCCUUCUACACUAUGCCCGAUCCAAAAGACAAUAAAAAGUCAAACUCUUAUGAUAUGUUCAUGAGAGGCGAAGAAAUACUCUCUGGUGCACAGAGAAUUCAUGACCCAGAAUUUUUGACUGAAAGGGCAAAACUACUUGGCGUUGAUAUUGAAAAGAUCAAACCUUACAUUGAUUCAUUCCGUUAUGGAUGCCCACCACAUGCAGGAGGUGGAAUUGGAUUGGAAAGAGUUGUGAUGUUGUACUUGGGUUUGGAUAAUAUUCGUAAAACAUCAUUGUUCCCUCGUGAUCCAAAAAGAGUAACUCCAUGAGGACUCUGUUAUAGAAGAGUUCCAGCCAUUGUCCAAAUCGUAGUGAAGUCCAAAGUGUUUACAUCAACUAAAAAUAUUCAGAUUGCAAAAAUCACGGACAUUAGCUAUGUGUGAGCCCAACAAAACACUUCUGUCUGCUACUGAAGCUCAAAAAUGGACAAACUAAACACUCGUUCAAACAAAGGAGCUCUUUGAUGUUUGCCGCUCAGCACAGCUCGCCUGCAGCUGUGUAUGGUAUUGCUGUUAUUAUUAAUCAGAAUUGAGAGAAAUUUUAAUUUUGUGUGGCUGCGAUUUUAAAAUUUUGGACUGAAACGGGUUCCAGUGUAGUGUUGUUAACAUAAAUACUCGUACUGCUGUGGUUUAAAUUUCUUAUGUGCCUUUUUUUUAAGCAGUCUUGCACAUAAAGUUCAUUAAUAUGCCAAGUGUGAAAUGAUUUUAAAAUAAAAUUAUUUUUGAAAAA